GGAUGAUUAGCUCAGUUGGUUAGAGCGUUGCAUUCACAUUGCAAAGGUCAGUGGUUCGAAUCCACUAUCAUCCA
rnacentral:tRNA from 1 species